ACGGGAGGCAGCAGUGGGGAAUAUUGCACAAUGGGGGAAACCCUGAUGCAGCGACGCCGCGUGAGUGAAGAAGUAUCUCGGUAUGUAAAGCUCUAUCAGCAGGGAAGAAAAUGACGGUACCUGACUAAGAAGCCCCGGCUAACUACGUGCCAGCAGCCGCGGUAAUACGUAGGGGGCAAGCGUUAUCCGGAUUUACUGGGUGUAAAGGGAGCGCAGACGGAAUGGCGAGUCUGAAGUGAAAUGUAGGGGCUCAACCCCUGAACUGCUUUGGAAACUGUCGAUCUUGAGUACCGGAGGGGCAAGCGGAAUUCCAGGUGUAGCGGUGAAAUGCGUAGAUAUCUGGAAGAACACCAGUGGCGAAGGCGGCUUGCUGGACGGUAACUGACGUUCAGGCUCGAAAGCGUGGGGAGCAAACAGGAUUAGAUACCCUGGUA
rnacentral:rRNA from 1 species